rnacentral:lncRNA from 1 species
CCUCCUCUUCUUCUUCUGCUAUCCUCCUCUUCUUCCUCUUAUCUUUUUUAUUUUCUUCUCUUGUUCGUAAGAUAGUGCCUGGAGCAACCGUCCCCCAAAAUGUUUGAAACACCAAAUUUUUCUUUAUAAAUAUUUUAAUGAAUAAAAAGGAAUAUCUUGUUCUGGAAGUCAUUGCUUCAUUUUAAAUUUGUAUCUAUGGACUGUGAAUUUUGUUCAGCUCGUAGAGAGUAACACAGAUAAAUGCUUAGAUCAGCGUGAGAAAAUGUUCAGUGCUUAGAUCUAGUAUAAAUAUACUUAGGAUAACUUUGAUGGAAGUGAACAUGUGUAGAGUAGUUUAGAACAACUUGAAUAUAACUUGAAUGUAAUUCGGUUGUUCAUAAAUUUGAGGCAUCAUAAUAAUUAUCUCAAUACUACUCUCCUACUCCUGAGUCUGAGAGAGUGCCUCAGGCAGAAAGAGUACUUGUUGAGGUAAUGCCUCUAGCCAUAUAUUGUCUAUCUUCUUAUUUUUCUUCUGAAGAGGUUGUGUGUGCCAGCAACGAGCUUGUGCCUAUAGUAUUUAGGACUCUUUAAUGGUAUUUCGAGGGUCUGAUUAGUUAUCCCUCAUGAGUGACAUUGUGUGUCUGUAGCGAUCUUGUGCCUACAAUGAUCUAGCACUUCUCGUCUUCACGCGAAAGGCAGUGUGUGCCAGCGGCGAGCUUAUGCCUAUGGCAUCUUGCACUCUUGACGAUAUUCUGAGGAUUUGAUUAGUUAUCCCUCAUGAGUGGCAUUGUGUGCUUGCGGCGAGCUUGUGCCUACGAUAUCUAGUACUUUUCAUCUUCGUACAAGAGGUAGUGCAUACCCGCGAUGAGC